ACAAACCACCCUUUCAGAAUUCUCUCCCUUCUCUCUCUUCGAUACUGUUCACCGUCUCUUUUCUUCUCCAAAUCCAUGGCUUCCAUGGACACUAACAUGGUAUCAGAGCGGGUCAUUCGACUCUUCUCGUCAAGAGCUAUCAUCCGGUACUAGCCUCGUCGUUUAUCGUUCAAGUUUUCACCAGUUUUCACAAACUAGGUUUUUCUUCGUUUUUCUUCGCAGUCGGUUAGUAUCUCUUCUUCGAUUCAUCAAUUUUGAAGUUGCUUAUUGUUUCAUCGACACUACUCGUAGUGUGUUCACAGAAGUUUUCUGUUCCUUCUUCGAUUCAUCAAUUUUGAAGUUGCUUGUUGUUUCAUCGGUACUAC
rnacentral:lncRNA from 1 species